UAGAAUAAUGUAGGUAAGGGAAGUCGGCCAAUUAGAUCCGUAACUUCGGGAUAAGGAUUGGCUCUGAAAAUUGAGAUAGUCGGGCUUGAUUGGGACGCAAUAAUAUGUUUUAUGUACUCGUUCUGGGUAAAUAGAGAUUUUCGGAUCUUGUUCCUCGGAUAGCAGUUACUUAACCAUUUGUGGCACUUUCUUGCUAAAAUUUUUAAGGGAUUAUCGCAAGAUAUAUUCUUUUUAAAGCACAACGAUUAUCAGUUAACAAUCAAUUCAGAACUGGCACGAACUUGGAGAAUCCGACUGUCUAAUUAAAACAAAGCAUUGUGAUGGCCCUAACGGGUGUUGACACAAUGUGAUUUCUGCCCAGUGCUCUGAAUGUCAAAGUGAAGACAUUCAAGUAAGCGCGGGUAAAAGGCGGGAGUAACUAUGACUCUCUUAGAAAAAAUUAAUACGGUUAAUGAAGUUGUUCGUAGAAUUAAAAGAUAAUAGAGAUUGAUUUUGGUAUAAUUUA
rnacentral:ncRNA from 1 species